CCUACGGGAGGCUGCAGUGAGGGAUAUUGGUCAAUGGGCGCGAGCCUGAACCAGCCAAGUAGCGUGAAGGAUGACUGCCCUCCGGGUUGUAAACUUCUUUUAUAAAGGAAUAAAGUGAGGCACGUGUGCCUUUUUGUAUGUACUUUAUGAAUAAGGAUCGGCUAACUCCGUGCCAGCAGCCGCGGUAAUACGGAGGAUCCGAGCGUUAUCCGGAUUUAUUGGGUUUAAAGGGAGCGUAGAUGGGUUGUUAAGUCAGUUGUGAAAGUUUGCGGCGCAACCGUAAAAUUGCAAUUGAUACUGGCAGCCUUGAGUACAGUUGAGGCAGGCGGAAUUCGUGGUGUAGCGGUGAAAUGCUUAGAUAUAACGAAGAACUCCGAUGGCGAAGGCAGCUUACUAAACUGCCACUGACAUUGAUGCUCGAAAGUGUGGGUAUCAAACAGGAUUAGAUACCCUAGUAGUC
rnacentral:rRNA from 1 species